CCUUGCAGGCCAACUCCGGUCCCCCAGCCGCUAGCGCGGUUUCCUUUCUUCUCGGAAGUGGCCGUCCAGCCGUCGCGGAGCCGGGCCCCGCUGGGCCUCCCGGGACCCGGGGCGGGCUGGGCUUCGCGGGGUCCGGAAGGAAGUCUUUGAUCGGCGCGGGUGCGGCCCGGGCGGGAAGGAGCGGAACUCGCGUGGGCGGGCCCCGCGCAGGGGUCGUGAGCCGAGGACGGUCCCCUCGGGUGACCCGGCUGAGCGGGGGCGGGGCUGCACCUAGUCCGCGUUCAGAUGCGCGGGAGAAGGCGGUGGUCUGGCCGCGCGGGCCCCUCCUUGCGAGGCCCGCCCUCCGCCGCGUGGCUCCCGGGGAAGAACUGCCUUACCCCAGAUCGGACAAGUCCCAGAGGAGUUUGCUUUUAGGAGAAAAGCCUGGGAGGUCUCUUCCUGCAAGUGUGGAGGGGGGCUGCGGGGAAGAGGGGACGCUCUUCCCUCCACCCGGUACAGUUGUAUAGGAGCGACCUCCCCGCGGGCGGGGGCACCUGCACCGCACGCUGUACUCACCGUCUUGCCCUGCUCCCUGGACAUCGGGGCAACGCAGUCUGUGCCUAAGCAGAGGAGCGCAGGGGGACGCAGGCGUGGGUGGCAAUAUGGCAUGGAGGCCAGUGGGACAAAUCGAACCUCGUCCCUUGUCUCCCGGUGUCUGCUGUCCCGGUUCAGACGGAAUAAGCUGUUCUGCAGGGUUUUUAGUCCGGGCCCUCUCAAGCCCUCGAAGCCAGUGCUACUCCCUUGUCCUGACUUGAAAUGCUUCCUAAGUCUGCAGGUUGUGCUCGCUAAGAACCCAGAGCGGUGCAGGAGAGGCACCAAGAGUGCUGCUUAAGGUGGGAGACCUCCUCCAAGAUGGGAGACAGAAGGAUCCAGGGCUCUUGAAAUCUCUGUGAGUCCCCAGCCUUCGACCCUCUGCACAUUGCUGACCUUUGACAUCUGACCCAGAUUCCGUGACAUAAAGGCCACAUCACUGCAGUUAAAAUUCUGAAAACUGUGUUAGAGCGGAUAGGACUUUUGAUCUCAGUUAAGUCCAUCAGUAUGGACAUGACUGAUCAUCAAGAUUAAAUGGGGCAAUCUGUCCUAUAUUUACAGAUUUCCAUCUGUUGACUCAAGCAAGCCAGCAAACACUGCCCUGGCAUCCACCGUGGACAAAAAGCAAAACACUGCACAUUUAGGGUUUGGUUACUCUGAUCAACUGGGGAAUCUGGUUUAGGAAUAAACUGCUCUGGUGACUGUCAAGCCUGUCAGCCAAGCAUUUCACAACCCGGGUUCAACCUGCCUUUCCAGCCUCGGAUCAGCCGCCCAUGGACAAGGGUACUUUCUGGUUCCUGGACAUUUGUGUACGUUGUUCUCUUUCUGGAAUGCCAGCCUACCUCUUUCGGUCACCUACUCGAAUGCUGCCUUUAAGGCUCAGCAUAUGUGUACCUAGGAGUUGAGGUUGAAAUACAAGAUUCCUCCAAAGAGAAAUGAGAAGGUCUGGAAGACAAGAUGUCCCCUUGACGUUUUCUCCUGCGACCGACCUUGACAUUGACACCCUUCAAUCUUGUCUGUCAUCUGAUUUCUGCACCAACAGCUUUGCCCAGAACUGUGGGGAUGGGCACACAGUUUCCUCCAGUCUGAGGAGGGGGCGGUGGGAGGGACAAGAAACUGUGUCCUUCCUGCCCUCUUACAAAGUGCUGGGGAGAUUUGGACUCCCUGGGGAACAUUUAGCCCAGGGUUACAUCAGGCUCUGCCUGUAUCACUGGACCAGCACUUGACUUGGGUGCCAUGAGAAGUUAAAAGGACAGGACAGGAGCCCUUGGCAGUCGGGUUCUCCCCUACUCUUCCAGCCUGAUGUCUGGAUCCAUCUCUGUUACCGUGCCAGACUCCUCGAAGUUCUGCAAAAGUUCCAGUCUUCCAUGCUGCUGUGUGUUUGCUCGUGCUCUCCUUUUUGCCAGGAUGCCUCCUGACCUCCUCUCCUGGGCAGUUCUCGCUCAUCUCUCAAGAUUCCCUCCUAUCUCACCCUCUCCCCAGACGUCAGAAAGAUUUAAGUACCCUGAUCCCCUCCUCAUACUUCGAUCUCAGCAGCCAGCCAGCAGGAUCUUUCUAGAAAGAAGCAAAUUUCAUAGAACCAGAGACAACCUCUGAAAGGACGUACCUGACUUUGCUCCUAUCAUGUAUUGCUAUAAUGUCCUGUCAAGUGCUGAGUGCUUUCAACACGAUGGACAAUGUCCGGGCAGAGGGGACACUCAGUGGCCGACAGGCUCUGUCUAGCUGCUGAUGCGGACUGUACGUGCUACAAUGUGAUCAUGGAAACACACACGUGGGAGCAAGGCUCUGUGUCCAUAUCUGUACCUGAGAGCCCAACCCACUUCCCACCAUACCGACAGCAUUCAGCUUGUAUGUGUGGGAUGAAGGUUGGGUGGACCUGAACAGAGCAAAGUUUGGGUCUUCUUGUCCCUCAGGGAUUCUGUAUUUCCCGUACAUCUGUGUCUUAGACUGAAGGUCACCUAAGCAUGAAGCAGAGACUGGGACCAUCAUUCGUUCGAUCAGCCAAUGCCCCAAACUUCACUGGACACAGGUCAUACACCAGGCACAGUGCUAGGUGCUGGGAAAUGGCGAAUAACACAGAUCCACAUGCCGCGGCACACGGUAGCCCCGUGAGUGGUUUAACGGCAAGCUGGUUUCGAGAUGGGGACGGUAGGAGCUGCUUCUGUUACGACUGUGCAGAAGCUAAGAGAUUUCGGGUUUACCACUGAAACUUGCUUAUAUCCCCCUCGAAGUUCCCAUUCAUCGAAAGAAAAAGGUGAUCAAGGACUGCUCAUCUGGUUAGGUGUUCACAGAUGAUUGUCCUCUAGAGACGUAUCCGCCAGUCUGUAGAUAAAUCAAUGUCUGCAUGAGGAACGCGUCAGAACUGGCCGGACUUUGGGAUGGUAGGGAGCAGCAGACGAGAGGAGGCAGUAGUUGGGCGCCCGGGUGGCUCAGUCGUUAAGUGUCUGCCUUUGGCUCAGUCAUGAUCCCAGGGUCCUGGGAUCGAGUCCCACGUCGGGCUCCCUGCUCAGCAAGCCUGCUUCUCCCUCUGCCUGCUGUUCCCCCUUCUAUGCUCUGUCAAGUAGUAGAUAAGAUCUUAAAAAAAAAAAAAGAGAGAGAGAGAGAGCUGUGGAAGGACCUAACAAAAGAGUAUGAGUCGGUCUGUGACCAUGUCCUUUUCCUGCCGAUUUCCUGUCAACUUCCGUUUCACCAGACCGACAGCAGGCUGAGCACCAUGAUUAAGGCCUCACGGUGAAGGCUGAUUCACGGGGUCCCCUCCCUCUCCGCACCUCUGCUUUCUCGCUCUGUGCUUGGCAGCCCCUGCUCUUCUCACGCCUUCUUCUUCCCUCUGCUUUCCGCUUUUCCUUCUUGUGUCUUCCCUCAGGGACCACUCAUCCCAAAAGAUGUCCGGGUACCAGUUUGGUGCUCAGCGCUCCUCAGGACUCUCGCGU